rnacentral:pre_miRNA from 1 species
AGGGGGGACAACCCAGUGGCGGGGCCAGCUCUGGAGCCCUGGAGUCAGCCCCCGCAGGAACUCCGGAGCUCUCCGUCUGCAGGGCCUGGAGGCUCUGGGGCGGG